rnacentral:tRNA from 1 species
CAGAGAAUAGUUUUAAAAAAUAUUAAUUUUGGAAAUUAAAGAUAAAAGACUUUUCUUUUUUCUCUGA